rnacentral:rRNA from 1 species
UGAACGCUGGCGGUAUGCCUAACACAUGCAAGUCGAACGGACUGCUCCGGCAUUCAGUGGCGGACGGGUGAGUAACGCGUGAGAAUCUGCCAUUUGGAUGGGGAUAACAGAGGGAAACUUCUGCUAAGACCCAAUAUGGCGCAAGCUGAAAUAAGUUAUUGCCAAAUGAGGAGCUCGCGUCCGAUUAGUUAGUUGGUGGGGUAAGAGCCUACCAAGGCAGCGAUCGGUAGCUGGUCUGAGAGGAUGAGCAGCCACACUGGGACUGAGACACGGCCCAGACUCCUACGGGAGGCAGCAGUGGGGAAUUUUCCGCAAUGGGCGAAAGCCUGACGGAGCAAUACCGCGUGAGGGAGGAAGGCUUUUGGGUUGUAAACCUCUUUUAUUAAGGAAGAAGCAAGUGACGGUACUUAAUGAAUCAGCAUCGGCUAACUCCGUGCCAGCAGCCGCGGUAAUACGGAGGAUGCAAGCGUUAUCCGGAAUCAUUGGGCGUAAAGCGUCCGCAGGUGGUCAAUCGUGUCUGCCGUUAAAGACAGAAGCUCAACUUCUGAGAGGCGGUGGAAACUGGUUGACUAGAGUACGGUAGGGGUUGAGGGAAUUCCCAGUGUAGCGGUGAAAUGCGUAGAUAUUGGGAAGAACACCAGUGGCGAAGGCGCUCAACUGGGCCGUAACUGACACUCAGGGACGAAAGCUAGGGUAGCGAAAGGGAUUAGAUACCCCUG